CAUCAAAGUAGCAGUGAUCACACUCACAUAAAGACAGACGAUGAGAGAAAGCAACAGCAGUGAAAAACCAGCAGCGGGGUGAAAGGAUGUAAAAGUCUGCAAGAAGAAUGCAGGAGGUACAGUGCUGCAGGCUGGCACUUCCAGACAGAGCCAAGUUCACUUGUGGAAAAUGACAGUGAUAUGAAAACCCCUGGGUGCUCACAGAGCCUGCUUUCACAGUUUGCAGUAACAAGGAGAAGUCUAAUCGAGGUGACAUGUGCAAGUACAGUGCUAUCUGAGAAGAUAUUCUGGAUGUAAUUUGCAAACAUCUGUGGGACAUUUGGUACUGUUCCUGUACAACUGCGAUGUUGGAUUCGGAGGCUUAUAUGAAGACUUGACGCUGAUUCAAUGGCUGCUGACACCAAAUAGGACAGGAUUUUCAAGGAAGAGAGCUGUCAACUUUCCUCUUUACCUGGGUCACUGAGGAAUUAUCCGCCACCUUCUAUUCCGUCCAUACUGCUCCAUGCCCUAUGGGAACGCUGAGAAAAGGAGCUAUAUUCCCAUUUCACUGGUACAGUAUUUUAUUCCUACCUUUUUAAAGGGGCUUUAAAUGUAAUGAAUCCUGAAAAUGAUGUCAGCAAGACUUGUGGGAAGGUUGCUAAAGCUUUGGACUUUCACUCCCUGCCUAAGAGACACCAUGCUGAGUGGGCAGAUUGAUAUGUUUAUAUUUGUCAUAAACAGUGCAUUAAGAUAGAAGGUGAUCUCAUCUCUGAAUAUUUUUAUAGCUAUUCAGUAUUACUGGUAUUUAAUUCUUUAUCACAGGGAGAUUUAUUAGCAGUUUCUUGUUGCCAGGACAACAGAAACAGUCUGUAGAAUACAGAAUUUGGGAGGCUGGUUACACUUUGCCUCUUUGGUUUCAUGUAAGAGAGAAUGAAAUGCAUACCCACUUGGAAUAUGCAUUAUUCCAACUACACAGGACUGUUAUCUUGUACUGUAAAUUACCAAAGCUCUUUGCCUGUGUGAUUUCUUAUAAGCUGGAACCCUAAAUUAUGUGCAUUCUUGUUGCUACUUCAUAGUAGGCUCAGUUUCUGGCAGAUAAAUAUUUUGCCUGUCUCAGAAGACAAUUUUGAAAGUUGUUUGUCCCCUGCUCUUUUUAUUCUAUUAUGUUAUGUUUGUUGGAAAUGGCUUUUCACUCCCUGAUGAUUGUUUGUCACAUAAGUCAUAACAAGAGAUUUGGAUGAAAAUGGCAGAAUGAGAAAAGCUGCAUUUCAAUAGCUUUUUGUAGUAUUGUACAAAACUGGCCUGCCACCUCUUCCUGAUUUAUAGUAAGGCUGGUUCAGUAUAAACUGAUUUGAAGAAGUUUUGAAAGUCUCUGAAUUUUAAAUUUUUCUGAUGAAUGUAUACGUGAUGUGUUUCGAACUGUAAUCCAGCUCCUGGUGAAGUCUAUGGCAAUGCUGCCAUCAAUUCCUACGGCACAGAAGUGGACUUAUAAUGAGCUAUUUAACAUUUCACUUAUCUAAAUUGUCACAGCUUGAAAGGUGUAGUAAAAGACUGGUGGGGUUUUGGAGUCACUGAAGGGCCUGUAAAUGUAAUCAAAGAGACUAAAUUGUGUGUGAGAAGUUGUUUCAUCUCAAUCUCUUUCAUCUAUGGAAACCUGAUAGAAUUUGUUUAGUAGAUUCUGGCAUACAAAAGUGCAUAGUCAAAUGCAGUAUUAAGAAUGGCUCUUCAGAACAAAAACAGACAGAUGAAUAGUUUUACAGUUAAGCAGCUAUCAUUUUAGUAGUUUUAAGUUCUUCAUGUUCUGUCAUAAAACUUCUGAAGAGAAAGUCUUGUUUGUAAACCAUAUCUAACUUGGUUUUCUUAUCUGGACAAUAAUAGACCCAUAUCUCUCUCUCUUGGAAAAGAUCUGAAAAUACAUGCUCUAAUAUUUAUGGAGUGUUUCAAAAGAGUGAUGAUAAAUAAGAUAGAGCAUGAAAGCUAUAUAACUGGUGUGUUUAAUAUAAAAAUUUGUUUCAUAUCUCUGAUCUUAAUGCGUUGUUCAGAAUUACAUAGAAUUACAUAAAAACUGAUCUCAAAUGGAAGAGGUUUUUUUCUUUUUUUUUUUGCAGGAGUUUCAGUUUCUAAAAUUCAGUUUGGCUAAAUACAUCCAAAGAGAUACUAGUUCAAAUGAACAAAUAAAUGAAUUUUCUUUUAAAAAAUAAUAAAAUCUUAACAAAAUAUGGAACAAAUUGUAGUAGUUAUGUUAGGUACAUGUGCUAGCAGAGUAAAUGAGGUAUGAAACAAGUGUGACUUCAUCUUCUUUUGAAAAGACUUAAUUUAAGAGACUUUAAUGAUAAAAGAACCAAUGUAUAUAUUGUAUAUGUUACCACAAACUGUCAGCAAGUGAUCUGCAGCAAGGUGGGAAGAGUUGCAGCAUACCUGAUGCAGAACUGAUCUUGUAAUUGCCAGAAGUUGUAAGCAAAAAAAUAGCUUUGAGUUCACAGGUAAACUUAUGUAAUGUUUUUCCUUGAAUUCUGGGAUUCUGAAAAUCAGUUCAGAACCAGUACAACAGUAAUAAUCAAAGCUUGACUAGAUCACAGCAUGUCUCUUCAACCCCAGUGAACUGAAUUGUGGAGGACUUAAAGUUUUAUAGGCUGGUGCUGCUACAGAAUUUCAUUUUUUAUUAUUAAUAAUGAAUGAGAUGUCAAUGAAUGAAUCAUCCAGAAUAUUAUUCAGCAUCUUCAGGCUUUGCCAUAUCUUCCCUUCUGUUACUGAGUAUAAAUGUGUUGAGCACAA